rnacentral:rRNA from 1 species
AUUGAACGCUGGCGGCAGGCCUAACACAUGCAAGUCGAGCGGAUGAAGGGAGCUUGCUCCUGGAUUCAGCGGCGGACGGGUGAGUAAUGCCUAGGAAUCUGCCUGGUAGUGGGGGAUAACGUCCAGAAACGGGCGCUAAUACCGCAUACGUCCUGAGGGAGAAAGUGGGGGAUCUUCGGACCUCACGCUAUCAGAUGAGCCUAGGUCGGAUUAGCUAGUUGGUGGGGUAAAGGCCUACCAAGGCGACGAUCCGUAACUGGUCUGAGAGGAUGAUCAGUCACACUGGAACUGAGACACGGUCCAGACUCCUACGGGAGGCAGCAGUGGGGAAUAUUGGACAAUGGGCGAAAGCCUGAUCCAGCCAUGCCGCGUGUGUGAAGAAGGUCUUCGGAUUGUAAAGCCCUUUAAGUUGGGAGGAAGGGCAGUAAGUUAAUACCUUGCUGUUUUGACGUUACCAACAGAAUAAGCACCGGCUAACUUCGUG